rnacentral:rRNA from 1 species
UACAGAGGGGGCGAGCGUUAUUCGGAAUUAUUGGGCGUAAAGGGCGCGUAGGCGGCUUUGCAAGUGACGGGUGAAAUCCCUCGGCUUAACCGAGGAACUGCCUGUCAAACUGCAUGGCUUGAGACCGGGAGAGGUGAGUGGAAUUCCCAGUGUAGCGGUGAAAUGCUUAGAUAUUGGGAGGAACACCAGUGGCGAAGGCGGCUCACUGGACCGGUACUGACGCUGAGGCGCGAAAGCGUGGGUAGCAAACAGG